UGGGUGAAGCUUCCUUCACUUUCCUGUUAAAAAGAAGAGGAAUUUUCCCUUUCUUUCUGCCUGGAACUUUCACCAAUGCCUAGAGGCAACACAGCCAUCUUGUAGCUACAUUCUAAAGAUGCUUCAGCAGGAGGACAGAGCACCCUGAUUCCUUGAACAGGGCCUUAACUCUGGACUCCAGCACUGAGAUUUCUUGUUCUAUGACGAAGAAUAGAGGCUUUGCCAGGAUGCCUAACCUACUUGGAAAUAGCAGAAUAGUGCAUAGACAUUCACACUGAGAACUUCUAUCCAAGAAGGAACACAAAAGUUCAACAUAAAAGUAAAAGAAAACUUUGGAUAUGGGGACAAAAAAGCUCACCUUGAACCACUAUAUGAGACCACCACAUAAGACUGCCUUGACCCACCACAUAAGAUAUUAAGCUACCUCGCUGAAAGGACCAUGCAGGAGACUACAUAGACCUCAUGGAGAGGAAGAGGCCUCAAAACUACAUUGCAAGGGGAGAAUGAGUUUUUAAAGCAUGAAGGCAAAGAGAGUGAUGGAAAUAAAUGUUAUACUAGAAGAGUGAGCAUCUUUUACCAAAUAAUUUAGUGUCAAGAAAUUUCACUCUAAGCCACAAGUGGCCUUAAGAUAGGACAGAGAGGACCUAAAAGAUGUGACACUCCACCAGCAAACAGCACAUCUAGUGCCAAGAUCUUAGUUUCUAAAACCUUCCUCUGAUGAGAGGAACUAGUUUCUUGGAGAAAUGACUGAUUCCAAGACUGGGGCAGGAAAUAUAGAUGAUGAACCUAGAACACCCCGUAGUGCCAGAAAGUAAAGUGCUCAAAAACCAAAACAAAACCUCCAACAAUUCACAGAGAUGGAGACGUGUCAAAUGAUCACAGUGGCAAGAGUCAUUUGAACAAAAUGAAUAAAGUAAGGUUGGAUUAUAACCCAAAAUAUAUUUUAAAACCAUGAACCUAUGUUGAUAUAAAUCAUUAAAUAUUAAAUAAGAGGAAAUGGACAAAUCUCCUGGACAUAAAAAUUCCAAGUGAUUUCCGUAGAUACCCUGCUCCCGAGGAGAUGGAGCAUAAUGCUGCACUUCUGAAGAGUGGGCUGCAUAGAACGGCUCCCUUCUGAAGAAUACAUACAGCAUGGAAAGGAUCAAAAAGAGUAGCUUUCCAGUGGAGAAAUCUGACAAACACUGACUCCGUGAGGUGAUCAAGGAUUACAUCCACAGUGACAAGUCAUUUUGAUAGUAUGUAUCCUUGAUGAGAUGUGAUGAGGAUGGCACUUUUUCUCUGUGCUCUUCCUACCUGUAUUAGUCUGAUAAAGACAUACCUGAGACUGGGUAAUUAAUACAGGAAAAAGGUUUAAUUGGACUUACAGUUCCACAUGGCUGGUGAAGCCUCACAAUCAUGGUGGAAGGCAAGGAGGAGCAUGUCAUGUCUUACAUGGAUGGCAACAGGCAAAGAGAGAGAGCUUGUGCACGGGAACUCCUCUUUUUAAACCAUCAGAUCUUGUGAGGCUUACUCUCAAUCACGAGAACAGCAUGGGAAAGACUUGCCCCAUGAUUCAAUUACCUGCCACUGGGUCCCUUCCACAAUAUGUGGGAAUUCAAAAUGAGAUUUGGGGGGAGACACAGCCAAACCAUAUCACUACCAAAAAUGGGUAUCCCAAAUCUGAUCAUGUGAAAGUCAUCAGACAAAUUCCAAGAGAGAGCAUCCUAUAAUUUACCUGUCCUAUACUCCUCAAAACUUUCAAAGUCAUCAAAAACAACAAAAAGUCUGAGAAACUAUGAUUGCCAAAAAAAGCCUAAGAAGACAUGACAACUAAAGUUAAUGUCAUAUCCUGGAUAGGAUCCUGGAACAGAAAUACAACAUUAGGCAAAAACAGAGAACAUGAAUAAAGUGUGAGCUUUAGUUAAUAAUAAUGUAUUAACAUUGGUUCAUUGUUUGUGACAAAUGUACCAUACUAAUGUAAGAUGUUGAUAAUAGAAGAAACUGGGUUGAGGUAUUGUCAGAACACUGUGUACUAUUUUUAUAAUUUUUGUGUAAAUCUAAAAACAUUCCAAAAAUUUAAAGUUUUUUAAAAAAAUAAAAGCUAUAGGGUUUUUUUUAUUAGAUAAGCAAUAUGAACCCUUACCCCAAUUACAUCUGCAUAUCUGAGAUUUCUUUCAGCAUUUUAUGAUUAAUUAGAUCACUCAAAUUAGUAAUGAUUAUCAUUGUUAAUUUAAAAAAUGGUGGCAUUACAAAGACUAGGACGUAUAAUGGUUUUUGGUUUAGAAAUUGGAAAUUGACCACCAAAAAACAAGAAACUCACUAAGUGACUUGGAAAAUUAUUCUGCCUGUAUAUAUUAUGGUCUUUUCUCAAAUGGUGACCAGAGUAGCACUGGCAGUGGAAUCACAGACUGUGCUCCCUAGACAUAGUGAUUCCUGGGCCAAGCUCAGAACUCAUGAACCGGAAUCUCAGGGUGGGGAAGCGUGGAAGAGCAGAAAAGGGAAGAUCGAAAAUAGUAAUCUUCAAUGAGACUUUCCAUUUAGCCAACUGUCAUUACAAAUUCUGUAGUUAAGCACUUAUUAUUGCGGAAGUACAAUAUGAAGUGCUUUUAGAGUUAUCAAAAGUACAUUGGGUUCAUAUAUGAACUUCAUAAAUAAAAUUGUGCAUCUCUUCUUUUAGUAUGAAAUAAUUAAAUCCAGGUUUGUAUUCUCAUGUAUGCAUAUGAAUUUUUACUAACAUUUAUGGUCCUGUCAGCACACUCUUCAAAUUAUGGUAAAUUAGUUGAUCUUGUUUUUCUAACUUAUUUUCCAAAAGGCACUAACUGAAAGCGAUUUUUAGGAGUUUUAUACAUUGGAACCAUUUAAAAAAAAAACACACACUUUUGUCACCUUCACACAUUCAUGCACUUCAUAGUUGAUUCUGGCAGGUUUUUAAAUAGCAAUUUGAGAUAAAUCUUAAUAAAAGAAGCAUACAUAACUCUAGCAAAUAAUUAAUGUUCAAUGAACUCCUAUUUUGAAACCAACUGGUGAAUUACUUUUUUGUUUGUAUGUGUGUGUUUCUUUUUAAUUUAUAAAUAUUUCCAUUUGAUAUUUCUUGGUUGAGUCAUAUUGCAUUUCGAUCCUUUAGUUUAUACUUGGGUUGCAAGGACGGUAAUAAAAACAACUAUAGGUUAGCAAGCAACUACAAUCACAGAAGGUGAGUUUAUUUAUAGCUUUACCCACAAAGCUUUCUAUUUCUCUUAUAUAUCCUCAUGAUUUUGAGAAAUGUCACAGUAACAAUUUGAAUUUUAGACACAAAUGAGGUGGUAUAUUUUUUAAAGUAAUUGAGCAGUAAAACCAAGGCCAAUGGAUCAGAGCUACAUGGAGCUCAAUAUAAAAACUAAGAACUUUUGAAGAAACUGAGAGUCACCCAAAGAUGGCAAAACUAUGUCACUAAGUGACAGCACUUGUCCUUGGAGGGAUUAUCAGAAGUUGAACAAUUAUUUGAUGAAGCUGAGCUAGUAAGUAAAAUAAAUAUUCUUGGCCAGGCGCCGUGGCUAACGCCUCUAAUCCCAGCACUUUGGGAGGCCGAGGUGGGUGGAUCACCUGAGGUAAGGAGUUCAAGACCAGCCGGGCCAACAUGGUGAAAUCCCGUCUCUACCAAAAAUACCAAAAUUAUCUGGGCAUGGUGGCAUGUGCCUGUAGUCCCAGCUACUCAGGAGGCUGAGGCAGGAGAAUCGCUUGAACCCAGGAGACAGAGGUUGCAGUAAGCUGAGAUCAUGCCACUGCACUCCAGCCUGGGCAACACAGGCAGGCUCCAUCUUAAAAUCAAUCAAUCAAUCAAUCAAUCAAUAUUCUUUAAGGUCUAGUCCAGCAAGAGUUAUGUGUUAAGCCACUUGAGUUUAAAAAGUGAGGAGGGGUAGAAAUAAUAUAUUUCAGUGUAUUUGCGGAGAUGUAUAUAGUCUGAAAUUUUAUAUAGAGGUAUAAAGAUUUAUUUUAAGUUUAUAUUUGUUUGUUCUGAUGAUAGUUACUGCAUUAAAAAUUAUCCCCAAACUUAGAGACUUACAAAAACACUUUAUUUUAAUCAUGAAUACAGAUUAGGACUUUGAGAAAGACUUAUUAUCUUGGAAGUUCUUCCUUUUUGGUUUCUCAGACAGUUAGCAUUAGAUACUGCUAGAGGCCACUGUCAUCUGAAGGCUUCGCUGGAUUGGACAUCCAAGAUGGUGCACUCACAAGGUUUACAGUGGAUGCUGGCCAUUGGCUAAGACCCGUGCUGAGUUGUUUACCAGAGUACCAAUUUUGUCUUUCUAGCAUGGUAGCCCCAGAAUAGUGAGAUUUCUUAUGUCCACCAGAAAAAGCACAAGGUACAACAUUUGUUGUCACCUGACUUCCAAAGUCACAGAAUAUCACUUUUGCCCCUCGCUGUUAGUUUUAAAUAAGUCUCAAGUUACAGACCUGUUUAGGUUGGGAUACACCGAGCCAGUGUCCUUUAGCCAGUUUAGAUUGGGAGCCUCAAUAAAUAAAGAUGGUUGAUAUCUCUUGAUCACUCUAUCAAGUUGUUGUUACUAUUUACUUCCUAAGAUGGAAACCAGCCCUUAUCUGAGAAAUGGAUUUUUUUUUUUUGCUGUUGACUAUAGAAUGUAAAGUAAUAAAAAUGAUUUUUAAAACAAGAAACUAAUUUUAUUUUUUAGCCAUAAAAAGACAAUGGUAAAAUGACAUCGUUGCACUCACCCAUACAAAUAGAACUCUGUCAAGUUUUAUUUAACCGUUUUGCAGAUGUGCUAAACUUGAUAAUCUAUUGGCUGAGA
rnacentral:lncRNA from 10 species